AUAACUAUUUAUGCUGACAGUACACAAUGUUUUAAUGUGCUGGAAAUGAAGACAGACCCCUUAGUUGCAUGCACCAAAUCUUGACGACUUCCUUAGGCAGUUCUUAUUCAGGCAGAAUUCCCAUUUGAUUAAAAUUCUGCCCAAGCAAAGACCUCAGGAUUUAGCCUUUUGUAAGUUUGAGAGUGAUACGCUGCUAUUAUAAAAUGAACAGAUAUAUCCUAAAUUUAAUGACCCUUUCCCAAGGCUGAGGUGGAUGAGACAAGGUAUUUACUGUCUGGAGAGUUCAAGUCAGGUCAUUGAUGAAAACCAGGUGGUCCCCUUCUCUUUUGACCCCGUGAGUUAAGUUCUUUGUGAUGCAGCUGAUGCAUUAGGGACAUUAUUGCAUUGAUUAUCUUCCAGUGCAACACUUAAUGAGUAUGUCAGGGAAGAGGGCGAUUUGUAUCUGAUGGGCCUUUGGGAUGGAGGAGGAAACACAGCAUUUGACUGAAGUCAUUAGAUUUAGCAGUUAUAAAAUUAAUAAUCUGUGGAUGAGCCAGAAAUGAUAACCUAAAUGAAUAGUGCCAGGAGGCCCUUACUGAAAGGAAAGGCAUUAUUGGGUGUCUGUGUCCGUAACCCACAGUCACAGAGGGGUAAGCGGGAGGAAAAAACAAGCAGGGGAAAUGAUUUGUUGGUUUGGGAGAUGACAGGAGACAUAACAGGGCCAGUGAGAUAAGCUAUUUUAUCAUCCUCUGGGAUUGUCUCAAAUUGAAAGAGUCCUGCCUUGAUACAAGGAUUCUGAGGUUGAUAUUUAAACUGUUCACAAGUGAAGGGAACGAUGGAAGGACCACUCAGCUUUGUAUCACACAGUGGCUGUCUGAAGCAAUCACAACUCAUGAUUCCGACUGAGGUGUCACAAGGUGGUGGUUGUGCAUGCAGUUAACUUUUUUGUCUUCAUAUGUGGAUGAGUGCAUUCACAGAGAAGAUAAGCAUAUGUGCCGCGUCCCAGCGUUGCCUGCGAUAUGCUCUCAAUUCCAGCUGUGUUCUAGCAAUACACCACUAGAUGGCGCUAAAAGCUUCAGUUUCAUGCUUUAAAUAGAUGCAGUAGUACUUCAAAGUUGGGAACACCAGAGUUACGAACUGACCAGCCAAUCGCACACCUUCUUUGGAACCGAAAGUACACAAUCAUGCAGCAGCAAAGAC